UGCUUAUAAAAAUUAUGAGAGAGGCAGACAGGUCGUGCCUGGACGCGAGCGCCUUCACCCCAGAAAUGCGCCUUCAUGCCCCCCACAUGUUGUACCUCGGCCCUGGCCGCCAAACUCGUCCAGAACAGCGGCUUCGAGUGCGUCCAAGUGAUAACCUCUCGACCUCUCGUCAGAUGAUCGGGUUCAAUGGCUCAGAAAAGUGCCAGCAUAUCAAUAAGACGACCUGUAAAGGCUGAUGGCGACACUGCCCCAAAAGAAUGGCGGUGGGAGUCCAAUGUACUGAACUUAAUGCCCCGGCUGCUGUCAUGUCCACCUCUGCU